rnacentral:lncRNA from 1 species
GAGGAGUGAUUGAUGAGAUGAUUCACCUUUGCUGGGGGAACUCAUGAUUUUUAUGGUGUUGCAUUAUGUUGAACUUUGCAUUUGUGUUGGACCUUUGCAUUUUGUGGCUUGCACAUCAUGGACUUGGUUUUGGAAUAAUUAUGCACUCACUUGUGUGGCUUGCUUGGUACUAGAACUUGUUAUUUUUAAUAUGUGGUGAACUAUGUUUAUGUCCUUAUCUCUUUUAUCUUGGUUGCUUGUUCUAUUGCUUCUGGAAAUUUGAGGCUUAUUAUUCAAGGUUAUUGUUGUUGAAUAUUCUUGGAUAUAUCUACUCUUGUUGCCUCGGUUUCCAUUUUGUAGGGGAGACUACCCAAAUUUUCCAUAUCCAUGCAUAUGUGAGAAAAAUGAAUUCAAGAUUUAUAUGCACAUAUGUAGGGGGAGCUUUCUCUACACUUUGAAUGAUGAUGCCAUUGUUGACGGUCGUUAAGAACCAAAUAUGACCGUCAAUAUAUUCAAGAAUAAAGGAAGAAUGGCAUUUCUUACACGCAUAUUUGGUUUCGAAUAAUGUAGUUCCACUUGUCCUUGGAGAAUAUUUGGUUGCAGGUGAAAUAACACAAAAGGAUGGAG